UACGUAGGGGGCAAGCGUUGUCCGGAAUCAUUGGGCGUAAAGCGCGCGUAGGCGGCCCGAUAAGUCUGCUGUGAAAGUCCAGGGCUCAACCCUGGAAUGCCGGUGGAUACUGUCGGGCUAGAGUUCGGAAGAGGCAAGUGGAAUUCCUGGUGUAGCGGUGGAAUGCGCAGAUAUCAGGAGGAACACCGGUGGCGAAGGCGGGUCUCUGGGCCGUAACUGACGCUGAGGAGCGAAAGCGUGGGGAGCGAACAGG
rnacentral:rRNA from 1 species